AAAUUUUGACAAUGGAUCACUUGGUUCUGGCAUCGAUGAAGAACGCAGCGAAAUGCGAUAAGUAAUGCGAAUUGCAGAAUUCCAGUGAGUCAUCGAAUCUUUGAACGCACAUUGCGCCCUUUGGUAUUCCGAAGGGCAUGCCUGUUCGAGCGUCAUUAUCACCCCUCAAGCCCUGUGCUUGGUGUUGGACGGCCGGUCGAGCGAUCGACCCCUCCUAAAGACAAUGACGGCGGCCUGUGGUUCCCCCGGUACACUGAGCUUCUCACCGAGCAUGUAUCGGACAAGGGCACCCGGGACCCGGUCCUCUCCUUUCAUAUAAGGAAACUUUCUAUGGUUGACCUCGGAUCAGGUAGGAAUACGCGCUGAACUUAAGCAUAUCAAUAAGCGGAGGCU
rnacentral:misc_RNA from 1 species